rnacentral:misc_RNA from 1 species
UUAUUAUUAUAUUUUAUUUUAAUUAAGACAAAGAAAGAUUUGAUAAAAAAAAUUUUUUUUAAUGCACAUUAAGGUGAAUAAUAAUAAUAAUAAUAAUAUUUUGAUAAUGAUCCUUCCGCAGGUUCACCUACGGAAA